rnacentral:rRNA from 1 species
UUAGUACGGCGAGUGAAGCGGUAAAAGCUCAAAUUUGAAAUCUGGUACUUUCAGUGCCGAGGAAGGUUUGUAGAAUUUGUCUUUGAUUAGGUCCUUGUCUAUGUUCCUUGGAACAGGACGUCAUAGAGGGUGAGAAUCCCGUUUGGCGAGGAUACCUUUUCUCUGUAAGACUUUUUCGAAGAGUCGAGUUGUUUGGGAAUGCAGCUCAAAGUGGGUGGUAAAUUCCAUCUAAAGCUAAAUAUUGGCGAGAGACCGAUAGCGAACAAGUACAGUGAUGGAAAGAUGAAAAGAACUUUGAAAAGAGAGUGAAAAAGUACGUGAAAUUGUUGAAAGGGAAGGGCAUUUGAUCAGACAUGGUGUUUUUUGCAUGCACUCGCCUCUCGUGGGCUUGGGCCUCUCAAAAAUUUCACUGGGCCAACAUCAAUUCUGGCAGCAGGAUAAAUCAUUAAGAAUGUAGCUACUUCGGUAGUGUUAUAGCUUUUUGGAAUACUGUUAGCCGGGAUUGAGGACUGCGCUUCGGCAAGGAUGUUGGCAUAAUGGUUAAAUGCCGCCCGUCUUGAACCAACGGACC